AUUGAACGCUGGCGGCAGGCCUAACACAUGCAAGUCGAGCGAGCGGCGGACGGGUGAGUAAUGUAUGGGGACUGCCCGAUAGAGGGGGAUAACUACUGGAAACGGUGGCUAAUACCGCAUACUAUCGGAUAACCCAUAUGGGAUUAGCUAGUCGGUGGGGUAAAGGCUCACCUAGGCGACGAUCUCUAGCUGGUCUGAGAGGAUGAUCAGCCACACGGGGAAUGAUAAACGGCCCAGACUCCUACGGCGGAAGCAGUGGGGAAUAUUGGAAAAUGGGCGCAAUCCUGAUGAAGCCAUGCGGCGUGUAUGAAGAAGGCCUUAGGGUUGUAAAGUACUUUCAUCGGGGAGGCGUUACCCGCAGAAGAAGCACCGGCUAACUCCGUGCCAGCAGCCGCGGUAAUUC
rnacentral:rRNA from 1 species